GAGAAACCGAUGAGAAAGAGGAGUAAGCCUUCUUCUGAUAUCACAGAGAGCUGCAGGCGGUGGGAUUGCAGUAUGGAAGGGAUCGCUGAAUGGACUUUCGAGGGCGGCCUGAAAUGAAAAGAGUAGGAGCUGCCGGGAACCAAACCCGUUAUCAAUGAGGGAUGCAUGGUAGUGCAUUGAAAGUGGACAUUUAUGUCAAUUUGAGUGGUACCGCGAUUAUAAACGAUUAUAACCGUCUCAAGC
rnacentral:ncRNA from 1 species